rnacentral:rRNA from 1 species
UACGGAGGGUGCAAGCGUUGUCCGGAAUCACUGGGCGUAAAGGGCGCGUAGGCGGCUCAUGAAGGCUGUGGUGAAAGUCCGGGGCUCAACCUCGGAUCGGCCGUGGCGACUCGUGGGCUGGAGCACUGUAGAGGCGGGUGGAAUUCCGGGUGUAGUGGUGAAAUGCGUAGAGAUCAGGAGGAACACCGGUGGCGAAGGCGGCCCACUGGGCUGUCACUGACGCUCAGGCACGAAAGCGUGGGGAGCAAACAGG